AGGCGAGGGUCCGGGAGGGCCGGCUCUGCAGCAGAAACGAACCAUGCCAGGGGUACGAUGAACCCGAAAGGGAGAGGUUUCCUGAGCGUGGCUGGAACGAGCAACCACGCCGGAGCAAGUCCAAGCAGGUCCUUAGGGCAUCGACAGGACCGGGUAGGAUGCAUAGUUGAAUGCGACCAGCCGAAAGGUGAACAGAAAGGGGCUUACUCCCUGCACCC
rnacentral:RNase_P_RNA from 1 species